rnacentral:rRNA from 1 species
GGAGGAAAGCAGGGGAUCGCAAGACCUCAUGCUCGUGGAGCGGCCGAUAUCUGAUUAGCUAGUUGGUAGGGUAAAAGCCUACCAAGGCAUCGAUCAGUAGCUGGUCUGAGAGGACGACCAGCCACACUGGAACUGAGACACGGUCCAGACUCCUACGGGAGGCAGCAGUGGGGAAUUUUGGACAAUGGGCGAAAGCCUGAUCCAGCAAUGCCGCGUGAGUGAAGAAGGCCUUCGGGUUGUAAAGCUCUUUUGUCAGGGAAGAAACGGUGAAAGCUAAUAUCUUUUGCUAAUGACGGUACCUGAAGAAUAAGCACCGGCUAACUACGUGCCAGCAGCCGCGGUAAUACGUAGGGUGCAAGCGUUAAUCGGAAUUACUGGGCGUAAAGCGUGCGCAGGCGGUUUUGUAAGUCUGAUGUGAAAUCCCCGGGCUCAACCUGGGAAUUGCGUUUGAAACUACAAAGCUAG